ACAUACCGAAAGGGAAACACCCGUUCCCAUCCCGAACACGGAAGUUAAGCCUUUCAGGGACGAUGAUACUGCAGCUGUGAGGCUGUGGGAAAGUAGUACGUUGCCG
rnacentral:rRNA from 1 species